GCCGGGCAUGGUGGCAUGUGCCUGUAGUUCCAGGUACUUGGGAAGCUGAGGUGGGAGGAUAGCUCCAGCCCAGGAGUUCUGGGCUGUAGUGCGCUAUGCCGAUCGGGUGUCCGCACUAAGUUCGGCAUCAAUAUGGUGACCUCCCGGGAGCAGAGGACCACCAGGUUGCCUAAGGAGGAGUGAACCGGCCCAGGUCGAAAACGGAGCAGGUCAAAACUCCCGUGCUGAUCAGUAGUGGGAUCGCGCCUGGGAAUAGCCACUGCACUCCAGCCUGGGCAACAGAGGGAGACCCCGUCUCUU
ensembl:misc_RNA Metazoa_SRP Metazoan signal recognition particle RNA